rnacentral:rRNA from 1 species
AUGUGGGCGCCACCGGUGUUUUCGUGCGCUUGCGCGCCGAGAGCAUAUUGGCGCGUGCUCGAAAUUCAUGCUACCUUUUCAUCCCCAAUCUCCCGCCCCUCCCCCAUCUCUGGAAUCUCGAUUCCUACUCCAGUUCCCCCAAAUCCCCCUCCUGUACUCCCAGUACUCAAGCACACUAUCAUGUCGCCGGUCAACGCGGAUCUCCGAGCCAGAGAUCCUGAGGUCCGUCUUGCCUUCGGUCGCUGUGUGCUGUCGCUCAACAGUGGCAUGGCAGCGCUUGACGACCAGUUUGCCGGCAAAGUGCUGAUGGUAACCAUCAACGGCGACCGGCCUCCCGUCUCGCCGGACGACCUUGUCAAAGCUCUUGGCAUUGCGCACGGCAUCCAAAUAAGUGACUUGCUCGUCGAAGUCUGUCCGCCACCGGCUGAUUUCUUCGUCAGGUUCCGGACAACUUUCGACUGCAGUCGUGUGUUCGAAUCUUCCCGGCGUUUGUUCUGCGAUGGCGCGCUGGUGAGCUUUGAUCGGUGGCACCCAGGAUGGGGCUCGGUGCCCUCUGAGCUUGAGUUUUUAACAAAGCUUACCUUCCACGGCAUGCUUCGACGUGCUUGGAACAGCGAGUCCAUGAACGAGCUUAUCAACGACCUUGGAGGUGAGCUCGUAAGUAUGUUUGUUCCUCCAGACAGCUGGGCUCUGACGGUUAUGGCAUGGAUGAAGAAGCCAUCCACCAUACCGAAGGUGAUUGGUGUUGAGAUACCGGUGCAGGAACCAGGGUUGUACUAUUCGUCGCCACCAAGGCCGCCGCGGACCACGUUAGGGAUGUACCUGUAUCGAGUGUUCGUGCAUGUCGAAGAAGUGGUCAAUCCAUCAAUCAAAGUCCUGCCGCCGCCGCUGGUGCCAGGGUCCGUCGACGACGUCCAUUACAGGAGUCAACGUCAGACUUUCCCCGUGUUUCUCGGAACGAUGGAUGGCACAGGGCCUACUCCAUCGCGCGGCGGAGGCCACUGCUUCUUUGGGAGAAGAGGCAGGGCUGGCUGCCUGGAUGUGCUCUAA